UCCCUAGUUGCUAGCAGUUCGGCUGAGAACUCUAGGGAGACUGCCGGUGACAAACCGGAGGAAGGUGGGGAUGACGUCAGGUCAUCAUGGCCCUUACGGCCAGGGCUACACACGUGCUACAAUGGUGCGCACAGAGGGCUGCAAACCCGCGAGGGGGAGCCAAUCUCACAAAACGCAUCGUAGUCCGGAUCGCAGUCUGCAACUCGACUGCGUGAAGUCGGAAUCGCUAGUAAUCGUGAAUCAGAAUGUCGUCGUGAAUACGUUCCAGGGCCUUGUACUCCGCGUCCGUACUAGGGCAGGAUUGC
rnacentral:rRNA from 1 species